rnacentral:rRNA from 1 species
UAGGGAAUCUUCCGCAAUGGACGAAAGUCUGACGGAGCAACGCCGCGUGAGUGAAGAAGGAUUUCGGUUCGUAAAACUCUGUUGUUAGGGAAGAAAAAAUGUAUAGUAACUAUAUACAAAAGAGACGGUACCUAACCAGAAAGCCACGGCUAACUACGUGCCAGCAGCCGCGGUAAUACGUAGGUGGCAAGCGUUGUCCGGAAUUAUUGGGCGUAAAGCGCGCGCAGGUGGUUUAGAAAGUCUGAUGUGAAAGCCCACGGCUCAACCGUGGAGGGUCAUUGGAAACUAAUAAACUUGAGUGCAGGAGAGAAAAGUGGAAUUCCUAGUGUAGCGGUGAAAUGCGUAGAGAUUAGGAGGAACACCGGUGGCGAAAGCGGCUUUUUGGCCUGCAACUGACACUGAGGCGCGAAAGCGUGGGGAGCAAACUGG